GAGAAGAGAGGACCUACUUCCAGCAACCCCAGAAAGAGACAUCGGGAAGAUUCUGAUGUGGAAAUGGUGGAAGAUGAUUCCCGAAAGGAAAUGACUGCAGCUUGUACCCCCCGGAGAAGGAUCAUUAACCUCACUAGUGUUUUGAGUCUCCAGGAAGAAAUUAAUGAGCAGGGACAUGAGGAGUGAAGUGCCUGGCUCCAUUCCAAACUCCUGGAAGUGGACUGUGGAACACA
rnacentral:lncRNA from 1 species